CUCGCCGCCGCCGCCCCCUCCCGAUCCAGUCCUCCGUCUCACCCCCCUCCUCUCCCCUCAACCAAGGACGACGGAGAUCUAGUCCUCUCCCCGCGCGGCAACCCUUCCUCCCACCCACCGCCGACCUCGCCGUGCUCCUCACCCACCGCCCACCUCGCCCUCCCUCCCCUCACCAUCUCUCCCUACCCUCUGCCCUCUGCCCCCUGCCUCGAUCCCCCAGAUCCAAUCGACACAACCCCGCCGCCCCCGCACCCCGUACUGUCCACCAUGGCCGCCUCCUCCUCCUCCUCGCUCCGGAUCCCCGCCCCAACCCACCACCCCGCCGUGGGGGCGCGUCCGCGGCGGCUGCCCUUCCACGCCGUCUCCGUCCGCCCCCGCUGCUCCGCAGUCUCCUCCGUCUCCGCCUCCUCCCCGUCUUCGUCUGCUUCUUCGUGGGUUGAAUGAAUUGAUUGAUCGUGCAUGUGGUGUGGUGUGGCAGUUACAUGACGAGCCCGGAGCUGGACGAGGGCGUGGUGUAGAGGGAGCCGGCGGCGGCGUCGUGUGACGGCGGGGUGGCCGUGCAGGCGAGGGACGGGGUGUUCACGUGGGACGACGAGGAGACAGAGGCCGGGAAGGAGGUGCUUCGAGGCAUCGACCUGGAGAUCCGCAGCGGCAAGCUGGCCGCGGUGGUUGGCAUGGUCGGGUCCGGCAAGUCGUCGCUGCUCGGCUGCAUCCUCGGCGAGAUGCGCAAGGUCUCCGGCAAGUGAGAAUAAUGUAUGACAAAAACUCUGGAAGGUCAAGAGGCUUUGGUUUUGUCCAGUUCUCAAAUAAUUCUGAGGCUAAGUGUGCCAAGGACGCUAUGGAUGGAAAGCAUCGCAGAAAAGGUUGUGGAUUUCUAGGAAGAGCGAGCUGCUGUAUAUGUAAUGCAUGAUAAUCAUAAUAACCAUUGGACCUCCUGGACUCACAUGAUAACAAGAGUCUAGACUAAUGCUGAUUUCUGAGCGGACAAGGUGGUGAACCCGUUGUUCGAGAAGAGGCCGAAGCAGUUCGGCAUCGGUGGCGACCUGCCGCCCAAGAAGGACCUCCACCGGUUCGUCAAGUGUCCCAAGGUCAUGUGCAUCCAGUGCCAGCGCCGCAUCCUCAAGCAGCACCUCAAGGUGCCCCCCGCGCUCCACCAGUUCACACGCACCCUCGAUAAGAACCUCGGCCAUUGUUGUGAAGGCCGCCAAGGGAAGGAGUGGGGGAUUUGGCACAAGGCCGGUGAUCGAGUCUAUGCUCUCUCCUCCAUGGAAAGACCUAAAUUCAGCUUGACAGAGAGCACACGAAUGGUUUCAGCUUGACAACAAAUGUAUGAAACUUCGUAGCUGUGGACGACAACUACUUCCUUGAGAAGGACCAGCAUCACCCAUCAAGUAUGCCAUCGAGGGCGACGGCCGAAGGCAUGAUGAUAGUUCUAUUGCUGUUCUAGUGUAGCGAAGGUGGCCUAGUCGACUAUGGUCGCCUAGUGAGUCGUGCAUAUGGUUUCAUCUGACUGUAAACUUGAUGUAAACUGCUCCUAUUGUGGAGCUUGUUAUCUGAUUGUAAAGAGUUAAUUGUACAGAAGUACCACAAUUAGGGCAUUGGAAGCAGAUUGGUACCAAGUUUUGUAA